rnacentral:lncRNA from 1 species
GUGUGUGCGUGCAUGUGUGGCGUGGUGGUGUGAGUUAGCUAGCUAGGUGAGUGCAUGACCGGUAGGAUAGACUUCUGGAUAGGUUGUUGGCUGGAUGUGAUUUAGCAGCCUACAUGCAAGGAGUCAGUUGGUUAGUGAGCUAGCCAUGCACGGUAGUUAGCAGCCACAGGUGAAGUUGGCCGCGUCGUGCGCAUGAAAAACAAGGGCGUUGCGCUGCUGGGGACUAUAAAAGGCCUGGCCUCGUGUGUGUGUUGUAUCGGGGGAGCUGUGUUGUAAGCCAUGUAGCCGGGAGACUGAGUACGUGCUUAGGGAAGAAAGAAUACGCCGUUCGUGCGGCGGGGCGGAGUUCGUGCUCCGGGCAAAAACCUCUGUCCAUCUCCCUUUCUCAUUGGUUCGAGCCACCGCGUCACAUAGAGAGCGAGGGCGAGGGCAGCGCGGCAACAACAAUUGGUAUACGGAGCCACAAGGUUCGAGGGGCGGCCGUGGCGCGCGGCGGCGUUCGCGGCGCGCGCGGUGCGCGGCGGAUAUGAAGGUCUUGGCAAUGGCACGCGGCGAGCGCAUGGCGUCGGCAACGCGCGGCGAGUCCACGGCGGUGCGGCGUGAUGCCGUGCGCGCAGCGAGCGCGUGGCGUCGGCAACGUGCGGCGAGUCCGCGACGAUGUGGCGUGAUGCCGUGCGCGCUACGAGCAGCGGCGGUCACGGAGACGAGGAGGUCGCGGAGGACCUGCGUGGUGGUGCAGAGGCCGCGGCGGCUCGGCGCAACGACCGUGGAGGUGCUGUGCUGCGGUUAACGGCGCAGCGGUGCAGGGCAAUAAGCACGGCGGCGAGUCGGGCGCGACCGGUGCGUGUUAUGGGUGCGCACUGGACGCGUCGGGCGCGUCAGGACCGCGGGAGUGGACCGCGUCGAGGCGCUGGACCUGGUUGCGCAGAUCGCGUACGUGCGCGGCGGGAGCGCGGGGACGUGGGGAGUGCGCGCGAAGGGCACGCCGGCACGGUGGCGUGACGAAGGCAGCGGAGAACUGACCGCGUCGAGGCGCUGGACUCGGGCCGUGGCGACUGCGUGCGUGCGCGUCGUGUACACGAGCCUAGGAGCGCGGGACGUGGGGUGCUGCACGACGGAGGCCACAGCGGCGCGGUGCGACGGCCAUGGCGCGACGUUGACAACGAGCCUGACAUGUGCAAGGUCAUAAUUUGGGGCGUGAAUGUUAGCAGCAGGCCAUGUCCAUGUGUGUGUGCAUGCAUGUGUGGCGUGGUGGUGUGAGUUAGCUAGCUAGGUGAGUGCAUGACCGGUAGGAUAGACUCCUGGAUAGGUUGUUGGUUGGAUGUGAUUUAGCAGCCUACAUGCAAGGAGUCAGUUGGUUAGUGGGCUAGCCAUGCACGGUAGUUAGCAGCCACAGGUGAAGCUGGCCGCGUCGUGCGCAUGGAAAACAAGGGCGUUGCGCUGCUGGGGAUUACAAAAGGCCUGCCUCGUGUGUGUGU